rnacentral:rRNA from 1 species
AGUGAACGCUGGCGGUAGGCCUAACACAUGCAAGUCGAACGGCAGCACAGGAGAGCUUGCUCUCUGGGUGGCGAGUGGCGGACGGGUGAGGAAUACAUCGGAAUCUACUUUUUCGUGGGGGAUAACGUAGGGAAACUUACGCUAAUACCGCAUACGACCUACGGGUGAAAGCAGGGGACCCUCGGGCCUUGCGCGAUUGAAUGAGCCGAUGUCGGAUUAGCUAGUUGGCGGGGUAAAGGCACACCAAGGCGACGAUCCGUAGCUGGUCUGAGAGGAUGAUCAGCAACACUGGAACUGAGACACGGUCCAGACUCCUACGGGAGGCAGCAGUGGGGAAUAUUGGACAAUGGGCGCAAGCCUGAUCCAGCCAUACCGCGUGGGUGAAGAAGGCCUUCGGGUUGUAAAGCCCUUUUGUUGGGAAAGAAAUCCAGCUGGCUAAUACCCGGUUGGGAUGACGGUACCCAAAGAAUAAGCACCGGCUAACUUCGUGCCAGCAGCCGCCGUAA